CCUACGGGUGGCAGCAGUGAGGAAUAUUGGUCAAUGGGCGGAAGCCUGAACCAGCCAAGUAGCGUGCAGGAUGACGGCCCUACGGGUUGUAAACUGCUUUUAGAUGGGAAUAACGCGCCUUUCGUGUAGGCCUUUUCAUGUAUCGCAUCAACAAGGACAGGCUAAUACCGCGCAAGCGGCCGCGGUAAUACGGAAGGUCCGGGCGUUAUCCGGAUUUAGUGGGUUUAAAGGGAGCGUAGGCCGCAUGUCAAGCGUGCUGUGAAAGGUCCGGGCUCAACCCGGGCCUUGCAGCGCGAACUGGCGUGCUUGAGUCCGCAGAGGGCAGGCGGAAUUCGUGGUGUAGCGGUGAAAUGCUUAGAUAUGACGAAGAACCCCGAUGGCGAAGGCAGCUGGCUGCAGCGGAACUGACGCUGAUGCUCGAAAGCGCGGGUAUCGAACAGGAUUAGAUACCCGGGUAGUC
rnacentral:rRNA from 1 species